rnacentral:lncRNA from 1 species
UCUCUUAUCCAAAUAAUGGGAUCAGCUAAGAUGGAUCCCAGGAGGUGUGGAGGCUGGGUCGGUGGUGGGAGGUGCUGCUGCCGGCACUGGUUGUGUGGGCCAAGCUGCAUUUUUUUGGUAAAUUGGGCAAGUCCUCUUUGGAGCAGCGCUGGUUGUGUCCUCAUGAUCCGAGCGGAGCUGGGCUUCCGCGAACCCCGGGAGUUCUCCGUGUCCUGCACGUCACGCACAGAUGCCCAGCAGUCCAUUUGUGAGUUUUGACAGCAAAAUGCAACAUGGAUUGGCACCCCCUUUCUCUCAAGGCGGGACUCACAAAACUGCUCCCCGGUCAUGUAAGAAUGCUCAAGGGGAUAAUGCGGUUUUCCAUGAGAUUUUCCAGAGGACGAGGAGGAGGGAGCCUCACUAUAUCUCUGGAAAACGCAGUUAUUCUCUGUGAUGACAUGCAGAAGGGGGUCUGGGCCAGGGAGAGGAGGGGCCUCAGCGCUGGGGGCUUCCUGAAGCCAGUGUGUCCAAUUACGCGAGAGGCUGGAUUCAUCACAGGAGUUUGCUUACCAAUGAUUUUGGAUCCCUAUGAAUAAGGGGGGAGAGUAAACAGCCUCUUCAUCACACAGCGGGAGAAAUGCUGGAUCUCCUGAGGACCGAGGGCCCAGGGUCUGCAAGUGGAGGGAGGAGGGGAGGAGGGAUGGGGGUGUCUAGGAAAGACUCAGUCUGGUCUGUGUGCUGGGCUAGGGGGCUCAGGGGUGGGACCUGGAGAGAGAAGCUCCCACAGCACCAAAGGGGAGCGGGGCAGAGCACUCAGCCCAAGACCACCCCCAGUGGCCCCAACCGAGGCAGGUGGGCUCUGACCCCUGCCCGCUCGCCUGGCACUGAGCAAGCUUCACACCCGUCACUGUGCCUCCUUCCUAACACCCUGCUUUCUCUGUUUAGACACCACCGUGCGAAAGAAGAGAGGCCCAAGGUCGAACCUCCAUUUUUCUGAAAGAGAUGCACAAGUGAUUGAGCUGUAAGUGAGCGGCUUCUUCAGGAGGGGUUGGCAGUCUGGACAACUGUCCACAUUUGCGGCCUUGGGGACAUCUUGAAUUUGAGUGUCCAAAGCUGGUGAUAGACCUUCAUACGGAACUCAGUGUCCAGGGCAAGUAACAGAAUGAACAGAAGCUACGGUACCUCUGUCCUGAAGGAAACUAUUGCUUCUCUCUUCAAGAAGCUGAGUGUAUAGAGGAAGGCAUGAGGACUUGAUCCAGCAGUAAGAAAGGAUGGAAGCCAGUAAAUCCUCACUGCCUAUCCCGGUCCCCCAUGUUGGAGCUGUUCAUGCUUCUGCGAUGGCAUUGUGUCCAUGUCAAUGGAACCUACACACAGCCAAUGGCUCAUGGAAUGAGAACCAACUCAAGACAUAGCCUCUUUAGCACCACCAUCUUAGCAAUGGUAAGCAGCAUUUUCUAGAGCUGUUGGCCUCGCUUUCUUAGCUGCCAGAAGAAUCCCCCUGUGAACAUUCAGGGCCCUGAAACAUGGACGCCGUGAGACAGUCUCCAUUCCUAUAAAAGAAAGACUGACUUUCCAAAGGAAGGAAUAGCAGGCUGGGCUGGAGUGAGAGGAAAGGUCUGACAGCCAUGGAAUGAGCCUACAGCUCUUCGAUUGAUGGAGCCCACAAAGGAUUAAAUGAGACAGCAGACGCCAUGCCUUGUAGAGAGCUAUACAAAUGUAAGUGACUCUUGUUACGAUUAAAGAAUGAUUUUGUGGUUAUUAUUACAACGUGCAUGCCUUAUCAUGGAGGACACUACUGGCGGAAGCUUAGGAAACCCACGUCUUUUUAUUAUUGCCAUAAACCUAAGGUUCUGUGGCAUCAGGCCCAUUAACAUCUCUCUCUCCUGUAAUAUUAACCCUGGAUUUCUGGCGCUGCAUCACAGACUGCUCUGUGCAUUUCCAUUCAACGGAAAUCUGGGUGGUUGUAUGGACUGCUUCUCCUCAGAUUAGGUUAUUCUGCUUGUGUGUGAUGAAAGAUGAGCUAUAUUUCAAAAUAAAGUGCUGUGUUAUAAUAAUUUGCCUGGAUUC